GGCAAUCACAGUCUCUGAUUCAGCAAAAGCAGAUGGGAGCCCUAGAGAGAGUUCUCGUUUCUUUUUUUUUUUUUUUUUUUUCUUUUUUGAGCUGGAGUCUCGCUUAGAGGCUCAGGAUGGAGCCCCAUGGAGCGAUCUCGGCUCACUGCAACAUCCGCUUCCUGGUUUCAAGCGAUUCUCCUGCCUCAGCCUACCGAGGAGCUGGGAUAACAGGCACCCGCUAUUAUGCCCAGCUAAUUUUUGUAUUUUCAUAGAGACAGGGUUUAACCAUGUUGGCCACGCUGGACUCGAACUCCUGCCAUCAGGGCAAGGCAAAGUGGAAUGGAUUCACCUAAAAGCGGAAUGCAUUCCCUGGAAAGCAUCGUGGUUAGACCCAUGUGAGACAGGGCUCCCUCAGGUGAUCUUCCUAUCUCAGCCUUCCAAGUGGCUGAGACUACAGGAGUCACUUAAUUCUGUGAUGUCGAAGCUGAAGCGAGCCGUGAUCAUGCCUUGCCCUCCAGUCUGAGUGUUUCAGAAGGUGGAGUUUCGCUCUUAUUGCCCAGGCUGGAGUUCAGUGGCGCGACCUCAGCUCACCGCAACCUCUGCCGCCUGUGUUCAAGAGAUUUUCCAGUCUUCACCUUUUCGAGUAGCUGAAACCACAGGCAAACACCGCCAGGCCUGGCUUUUUUUUUUUUUUUUUUCAUAGAGACUAGGUAGCUCCAUAAUGGUCAGGCUGGUCUAGAACACCCAACCUGAGGCGUACCACCCAACUUGACCACCCAAAGUGCUGAGAUUAAAGGCGUGAGCCAUAACAUCUUAUCCUAUAGAAAUCCAGAGAGGUUAGGUCUGUAGUCCCUGAGACCAGCCUUCCUUGGAUGAACUCCAAAGUGAUGGCUGAGGAUUAGGGAGUGUGGGGGGGGGGCUGGAAAGUCGGUCCACUAUUUUUGCUACCUAGGCCAUGACAUCCCCCGAACCCCAUCGCUUGCUCACCCUUUGAGAUUCCCCCCCUCCACCGCCUUGGUGGCAGAACUCUUACUUUAAUUUCUGUCUUUCUUAGUUUGUUGGGUUUCAGGACGGGGUUCAGGAAAGACGGUGUGCGUGGGGAGGGGGUGUAGGGUGGGGAUGGAGGGGAGCGUCCUAAGGGUCGAUGUAGUGUCAUGCCUCUUUCAUCACCACCACCGAAGAUGAAAGCAACAAUCAUCUAUAUACCGCGUGUUCUCACCCAUAAGUGGGAACUAAAUAAUGAGAAUGCAUGGGAAGAACUAGGAGGAGGAGAGACACAGGAGCCUACUUGAGGGAGGAGGUGUGGAAGGACAGACAGCUUCAGGACAAAGCAAAACGAGCAAAACACAAAAACUGUGGGGUACUGCGCUGAGAAUCCGGGUGAGGAAAUCAUCGGCAAACUGAACCCCCUACUCAGAAGUUUACCUAUGAAACAAUCUUGCACAUGUAUGCUUCGAAAAUAAAUAACAGGGAAGAAAGAGAGAGAGAGAGAAAGAGAGAGAGAGAAGUAAAAUAAAGCACCACCUCCUUGACCUGACUCAGGGGGUUUGGGGUCUUCUGGGGAAACGUUCUGAAACAAUGGAGUAUUUUGGUCUGUU